rnacentral:rRNA from 1 species
UACAGAGGUCUCAAGCGUUGUUCGGAUUCAUUGGGCGUAAAGGGUGUGUAGGUGGCGCCGUAAGUCGGGUGUGAAAGCCCUCAGCUCAACUGAGGAAGUGCGCCCGAAACUGCAUGGCUUGAAUACCGGAGAGGAUGGCGGAAUUCCCCAAGUAGAGGUGAAAUUCGUAGAUAUGGGGAGGAACACCGGUGGCGAAGGCGGCCAUCUGGACGGCUAUUGACGCUGAGACGCGAAAGCAUGGGGAGCAAACAGG